rnacentral:rRNA from 1 species
GAUGAACGCUGGCGGCGUGCCUAAUACAUGCAAGUCGAGCGAACAGACGAGGAGCUCGCUCCUCUGACGUUAGCGGCGGACGGGUGAGUAACACGUGGAUAACCUACCUAUAAGACUGGGAUAACUUCGGGAAACCGGAGCUAAUACCGGAUAAUAUAUUGAACCGCAUGGUUCAAUAGUGAAAGACGGUUUUGCUGUCACUUAUAGAUGGAUCCGCGCCGCAUUAGCUAGUUGGUAAGGUAACGGCUUACCAAGGCAACGAUGCGUAGCCGACCUGAGAGGGUGAUCGGCGACACUGGAACUGAGACAGGGUCCAUACGCCUACGGGAGGCAGCAGUAGGGAAUCGUCCGCAAAGGGCGAAAGCCUGACGGAGCAACGCCGCGUGAGUGAUGAAGGUCUUCGGAUCGUAAAACUCUGUUAUUAGGGAAGAACAAAUGUGUAAGUAACUAUGCACGUCUUGACGGUACCUAAUCAGAAAGCCACGGCUAACUACGUG